rnacentral:lncRNA from 1 species
GCAGUCGGGAAGGCAGCUCGCUCAGGCAAUGUUCUGGGCCGAGCAGCUGUUUGGAAAGAGGACCCUGGCAGGCUCCUGGAGCUCCAGAGACAAAGACAGGCCAGAAGUGGAGACUGGAGUCACACGGCAGAAUAAGAGAACCUGCCAGGGAGAGCACUCCAGAUCCAACGGAAGAACUGUAAAUUCCUGUGAAAAUGGCUCUUCUCAAAAAGCACCGCCAACAAGAGAGUAAAUUUGAUUCUUGACACGUGGCUCAGCAGCGGAAGCGGGAAG